AGAGUUUGAUCAUGGCUCAGAAUCAACGCUGGCGGCGUGCCUAACACAUGCAAGUCGAACGAGAAAGUGGUAGCAAUACCACGAGUAAAGUGGCGCACGGGUGAGUAACACGUGACUAACCUACCCUGGAGUGGGGGAUAACUGAGGGAAACCUUAGCUAAUACCGCAUAAUACCUACGGGUCAAAGGAGCAAUUCGCUCUGGGAGGGGGUCGCGGCCGAUUAGUUAGUUGGCGGGGUAAUGGCCCACCAAGACAGUGAUCGGUAUCCGGCCUGAGAGGGCGCACGGACACACUGGAACUGAAACACGGUCCAGACUCCUACGGGAGGCAGCAGUGGGGAAUUUUGCGCAAUGGGGGAAACCCUGACGCAGCAACGCCGCGUGGAGGAUGAAGUACUUCGGUACGUAAACUCCUUUCGAUCGGGACGAUUACGACGGUACCGGAAGAAGAAGCCCCGGCUAACUUCGUGCCAGCAGCCGCGGUAAUACGAGGGGGGCAAGCGUUGUUCGGAAUUAUUGGGCGUAAAGGGUGCGUAGGCGGUUUUGUAAGUCUUGUGUGAAAUCUCUGGGCUCAACUCAGAGACUGCACGAGAAACUGCAGGGCUUGAGUGUGGGAGAGGUGAGUGGAAUUUCCGGUGUAGCGGUGAAAUGCGUAGAUAUCGGAAGGAACACCUGUGGCGAAAGCGGCUCACUGGACCACAACUGACGCUGAUGCACGAAAGCUAGGGGAGCAAACAGGAUUAGAUACCCUGGUAGUCCUAGCCCUAAACGAUGACUGCUUGGUGUGACGGGUACCCAAUCCCGCCGUGCCGUAGCUAACGCGUUAAGCAGUCCGCCUGGGGAGUACGGUCGCAAGGUUGAAACUCAAA
rnacentral:rRNA from 1 species